rnacentral:rRNA from 1 species
CAGCCGUAAACUAAUGCGCGUUAGGUGUAUCGGUGACCACGAGUUACCGAGGUGCCGAAGGGAAACCGUGAAACGUGCCGCCUGGGAAGUACGUCGCAAGGCUGAAACUUAAAGGAAUUGGCGGGGGGAAGCACCACAACGGGUGGAGCCUGCGGUUUAAUUGGACUCAACGCCGGGAAGCUCACCGGAUAAGACAGCGGAAUGAUUGCCGGGCUGAAGACUCUGCAUGACUAGCUGAGAGGAGGUGCAUGGCGUAGACGUCU